rnacentral:rRNA from 1 species
GAUGAACGCUGGCGGCGUGCUUAACACAUGCAAGUCGAACGAUGAAGCCCAGCUUGCUGGGUGGAUUAGUGGCGAACGGGUGAGUAACACGUGAGUAACCUGCCCUUGACUCUAGGAUAAGCCCGGGAAACUGGGUCUAAUACUGGAUAGGAACGUCUACCGCAUGGUGGGUGUUGGAAAGAAUUUCGGUCAUGGAUGGACUCGCGGCCUAUCAGCUUGUUGGUGAGGUAAUGGCUCACCAAGGCGACGACGGGUAGCCGGCCUGAGAGGGUGACCGGCCACACUGGGACUGAGACACGGCCCAGACUCCUACGGGAGGCAGCAGUGGGGAAUAUUGCACAAUGGGCGAAAGCCUGAUGCAGCGACGCCGCGUGAGGGAUGACGGCCUUCGGGUUGUAAACCUCUUUUAGUAGGGAAGAAGCGAAAGUGACGGUACCUGCAGAAGAAGCACCGGCUAACUACGUG